rnacentral:rRNA from 1 species
CACGACGGCCAUAGCGGGGGGUUGACACCCGGUCCCAUUCCGAACCCGGAAGUUAAGUCCUCCUGCGUUCCGCGCGGUACUGAGGUGCUAGCGCCCUCGGGAGUUGUGGUUCGCUGUCGGUC